AUGGGCGCCCUGAGGUGUCAGGGAAGGCCCCGGCACCAGGGCCAGCAGGAGCUGCCCCCAGGGAGCCCACGCUUUCCCAGGCGCUUGCUGGGGGAGAGGGGGGUUUCCUCUCAGGGAGAGCAGCCAGGCUCUGUCCUCCCCAAGGAAACGCUGCCUGAGGGUUUCGCAGCCUUCGGCAUCGCUCCGGCUCUUGGGCAAGGAAAACCAAAGGCCGCGGCAGGGAAACGCGGAGGCGAGCGCUGUCCCCGGGGCCGGGUGCGGCCUCCUCCGCGGGGCCUGGCUGGCUGCCCGGGCCCGCGGACACGCUGGGCAGGGUGGGAGCCGCGCCCGCCCGCCGGCCGCUGCCUCCGGCCGAGGAAAGACUGGAGCCGCCAUUUCCUGCGGCCGAGCCGGGCCGGGCCGGGCCCCGCCGCCAUCCCGGGGCCGCCCCUCCCCCUCCACCAGGGGGCGCGGGCGGGCGAGGCCCCGGGGCUCCCGCCGCCGUCUUCCCGUCGGCCGCGGCAGAUGCCUGUUUGGCAACUCACUUCCGCUACGCGCGCCUCCUCUAUGGUUCUCCCUGCCCCCGCUGCCGGAAGCUCUUCCGGGUCGGCCGGUAACCGUGGCAACGGGGAGCUUCGCGCGGCCGGACGCCAUGGCGGAGCUGCAGGCCGAGCCGGUUUCUUCAUUGCCGGUGGCUACAGAACCUCCAAAAUCCCGCUCCCAAAAAGUGCCGGAGUUACCAAUCCUAGAGAGAAAAAACUGGUUGAUCUAUCUGCUCUACGUUCGCAAAGACUAUGACGCCUGUAAGGUAAGAGCUACUUUUGAGACUUGGCUUUAGGAAAUAUUUUGAGGAAGUUAUGAAAUGACAUACAAACCAGAUCUAGCUGUGCUGUGCGCCACGUACCUUGACCGUACCGUGAUCAUCUCCUCUGCGCUGAGCACUGCCAACAGAAGGCUACGGUGUCAUUAGAACUUCUCCUUUCCCCAGAAAUCUCUGCAUGUCCAACACAAUGUCCCUAGCUUGAAGUUAGGCUGAGUCCUAACCACGCUCUUUGCUGGCUUCUCUUGGAAUAAGGGGACCAAGAGAAGAUGCAACUAAAAUAAGAGUCAAAACAACUUUAAUUUUCUCAAAUUCUCAGCAACAUUCAGGACUCAAACUUGCAAUUCUCUAGAGCUACCAGUGAGCUCUUUAUUUCUUUGGAAGUAGAAAAAAAUCAAAAGAAUUGCAAACCUCUCUUGUUCCAGCUGACAAAAUAGGGUCUUCCCAACUGAUUGUAACUCAGUUUCAUAGUUCAGAGUCUCUCAAUGGUGCUACAGAGACGCUAUGAAAAACACUUCAGUUGAGUAAAACAUUUUUAUACCAAGUGUGAGAAAAGGUCUUGGCUUUGCCUGAAUGAGAUUUGUUCAUUUUACACAUGGUACAUUGCACCCUUUGAUUUCUCCUGGUUUUGGAGGAUACCUUGGAAGUGGUUGUUGAUUGGGAGCUGUAAUGGUGAGUGAACUAAGGAAGUGGCAAACCUGUUAAACAGUAUGUUUUCCUGAUAAAACACACACAAGUUAUUAAAGGUGAUCUGCCAGUGGGCAGGAGGAGGGGAAGAAGAGUUACCUUCCUGGUUCUGUAAUGUGCCAAGAGGAUCCAAAAGGAUUAUUUUCCUUCUGAAACACCAGGUUUGGUCAGGACUUGUCUUGUCUCUCGUUGUUGGAAAAUUCCUGGGGCUGCUUAGGAAAGUGGCAGGGCAGAGGAAAUUCAUUUAGGUCUUUAAUUAAUGGAGCUGGAGGGUAGUAUCCUUAGCAGAGC
rnacentral:lncRNA from 1 species